AUGAGCAGGAUAAUUAAUUACGAUAUUUUUCUGAAGCAUGUGACACCCUUAUUGGUGCUUUACUCUGAUUUAAUUAUUGAAUUAUUCGUGAAUAUUCCUUGUGGUUUAGAUGAGUAUUACAACCAUCAUCAUCCUCUCUUCUUCUUCAUGUUUUGCAAACUUUGUAUCACUUUCUUGAUUCUUUUCGCUUUUAUGGACAAUCACUAG